rnacentral:rRNA from 1 species
CAGUCGCCGCGGGAAAACGAACCGUGCAAACGUUACUCGGAAUCACUGGGCUUAAAGCGCACGUAGGCGGCGACAUAAGUUAGAGGUGAAAUCCCAUCGGCUCAACCGUGGAACUGCCUCUAAUACUGUGUUGCUUGAGGGAGAACGGGGCAUUCGGAACUUCCGGUGGAGCGGUGAAAUGUGUUGAUAUCGGAAGGAACGCCGGUGGCGAAAGCGGGAUGCUGGGUCUCUUCUGACGCUGAGGUGCGAAAGCUAGGGUAGCGAACGGGAUUAGAGACCCCCGUAGUCCCUGUCUCUUAUA